GACGAACGCUGGCGGCGUGCCUAAUACAUGCAAGUCGAACGCAGUGGGGGUGGGUGAGUAACACGUGGGUAACCUCCCAUCAGAAGGGAUAACACUUGGAAACAGGUGCUAACCCGAUACCUGAGGAUGGACCCGCGGUGCAUUUGCUAGUUGGUGGGGUAACGGCGCACCAAGGCCACGAUGCAUAGCCGCCCGGAGAGGUGGAUCGGCCACACUGGGACUGAGACACGGCCCAGACUCCUACGGGAGGCAGCAGGAGGGAAUAUUGGGCAAUGGACGAAAGUCUGACCGAGCCACGCCGCGUGAGUGAAGAAGGUUUUCGGAUCGUAAAGCUCUGUUGUUAGAGAAGCGGUAUCUAACCAGAAAGCCACGGCUAACUACGUGCCAGCAGCCGCGGUAAUUC
rnacentral:rRNA from 1 species